GCACUUUUCAUUUGGAUUUAACAGCUUGUUCACGAUGCGCAGAAUUACCUUUUUUGUGCUUCUGUGUUCCGCAUUGUGUCACUCACUUAUUUAGUUAUUGCUAAAUUAUAAUGCAAUGACGAACCGAAUGGCUAUGGGUUUCUGAAGGUUGGUCAAUGCUUUAGAGGAACCUUUCGCCUGGCCAGCUGUUGCGGAAUCGUGCAGAGAUGAUUGCCCGCAGAUACGAUGCACAGAGACGGAACGGAGCCCAGAGCUCAUCUCUUUCCAGUUACAGCCACAAGACGAAUGACGCAAUCGGGAGGCAGUCGGCCCAUAGACGGAAAAAAG
rnacentral:lncRNA from 1 species